ensembl:lncRNA
UUUACUGUCAUUCUAAAUGGCACAUCAAAGAAACAUCUGGGUAUUUUGUGCUUCUUAAGUUUACAUGAUCCCUUUAUGGAGGGAACCAGCAGCAGUUGUCACGUGAUCUGGUCUCCACUAAAGGCUCAAACCUGCAGAGCUGCUGCUGUUCUCACACGUUCUCCCCAAAACGCUUCCUCUUCACUUCUGAGGAAACAACCACAAGAUGCAAAGAGGAACGACUUAAAACCAAAAAGUGACUUCUGCAUUAAUCCAAAAUUAGACUACGGACACUUUUUAAAUGUGGCACCAGUUAACAGAACGAUGUCAGAGUGAUCACAUGACAUGUGUGCAUGCUUCAUGUUCAGGAAGGAGUCCUGUGAUGAAACACAAAGAGGCUCAAAGCUGCGUGAAGCCGGAUCAGGACCAAACUGAGAGCGGUUCUGUAGAGUCUGCAUGAGUCCUGAUCUCUAAGUGAUUAAUAACUAAUCAAACGUUCCUCACAGUAACGUCUGAUGAACACGAUCCCUUAUGGAGGGAACCAGCAUGCUGAGUCCUCACGUGAUCUGGUCUCCACUAAAGGCUCAAACCUGCAGAGCUGCUGCUGUUCUCACACGUUCUCACCACAACGCUUCCUCUUCACUUCUGAGGAAACAACCACCAGAUGCAAAGAGGAAGAAACUCAUCCUCAGAGCUCCGACACGUCGUCUCUAUGAGCACGACGAGGAAGUGACGCUGUGCAACCAGAGGAAGCAGAAGCUGCAUCUGUGAGGAAGAAGCACUCGGUCAGACGCCUUGAGGAGCAGAGACACCAUGGUGGAACUCAGAGGGACUCAAAGGACUUUAUGUGUGAUGCUGCUGCUGCUUCAGGCUGCAGUAAGAGGACAAACCCCCCCUGACCCCCGCUUCCUCGUCAGAGCCGGAGAUGACGUCACUUUGCCUUCUAACCAUGUGGAUCAGGACAGAUGUGACGGUUCUACUUGGCUUUACAAUCGUACUGAUUCAUCUGUGGAGCUGGUUACACUUGGGAAGAUUAAUAAUAACGCUUUGAUUCCAGAAGCUAAAAGCAACAAACUGAGUUUGACAGCAAACUGUUCUCUGGUUAUAAGAAGCGUCUCAGGUGAAGAUGUUGGUCGUUACACCAACAGAGAUUUUAAUGAAGCAGGAAAACAACAAGGUCCAGAUGGUGUGGUCUCUCUGUCCAUGUUUACAAUGGAGGAAAAGGACUACGGGGGUCUGGUUGUGUUUUCCUGCUUUGUGUUGAGAUUCUCUGAGUGUGAACACACAGUAGAGUGGCUUUAUGACGGCAAACAGACUGAUGUGAUGAUGUCACACGCUGCUUGUGAAGCCACUGUGACGUUUAAAGCUCCUCUUCAUCAGAAGUCAAAGUAUUAUAAGUCACUGAGAUGUGAAGUGAGAGACAAUCAGAGCGGAAAAACUCUGCUGUUUGAAGCCUGCAGUCAGUUCUCAUCUGAACAAACAGUAAGUGGACAAACCCCCCCUGACCCCCACUUCCUCGUCAGAGCCGGAGAUGACGUCACUUUGCCUUCUAACCGUGUGGAUCAGGACAGAUGUAACGGUUCUACUUGGCUUUACAGUCGUAGUGGAUCAUCUGUGGAGCUGGUUAAACUUGGGAAGAUUAAUAAUAACGCUUUGAUUCCAGAAGCUAAAACCAACAGACUGAGUUUGACAGCAAACUGUUCUCUGGUUAUAAGAAACGUCUCAGGUGAAGAUGUUGGUCGUUACACCAACAGAGAUUUUAAUGAAGCAGGAAAACAACAAGGUCCAGAUGGUGUGGUCUUUCUGUACGUGUUUACAAUGGAGGAAAAGGACUACGAGGGUCUGGUUGAGUUGUCCUGCUUAGUCACUUACUGUGAACACACAGUAAAGUGGCUUUAUGACGGCAAACAGACUGAUGUGACGACAUCACACGCUGCUUGUGAAGCCACUGUGACGUUUAAAGCUCCUCUUCAUCAGAAGUCAAAGUAUUAUAAGUCACUGAGAUGUGAAGUGAGAGACGAUCAGAGUGGAAAAACUCCGCUGUUUGAAGCCUGCAGUCAGUUCUCAUGUGAACAAACAGGAGGCCCACCGGGGGAGGGAAACAUUACACCACCUGCACCACCAGUCUGGUGGCCGUGGCUCGUCAUCCCGCUGGUGGGUUUAUUGGUCCUCUUCAUCAUCCUCGUGGUCUUCAUCAGAUGGAGAAAUCAAGGGAAAAGAACACAGACGGACGAAAACAUCGCCGACCCCGAGGAAGGCGUAGCCUACGCCUCCGUCAGCUACACCAGGACGGCCGGCGGAGGAGCCCGGGCUCGGGUCAAAGAUGGCGACGAUGGCGACGAUGUGGUGACUUACUGCACUGUGAAAGCUCCGCCUCCUGCUUCUUCUUCUAGUGCCGGAGCCUCCGUUGAUCCCAGUGACCUCUACGCGGUCGUCAACACACCCAACAAAUAAGAGGCUACGUUGAUGAUUGUAAACCAAGUCAAGCUUUCUUCAUCACGUUCACUCACUGCUGAGAUGAAUUGAGCCAUUUAGCAAAAUGUUUAGAGCAUUUUAUAUUCAUUGAUGUUUUAUUUGAAUAACCUGAAUGUUCCCACCAGAUAAAUCAGAUUAUUAUUGGAAAAUAUAAAUAUGAUAAUACUGAAACCUAGUUUUGCAUUUAAAGUGAGCUUUUGACCACGUUUUUUUACAUUAUGAUAAUUUGUAGGAUUUAGUUCUUUUGAUUUAUAUCCAUCCAGAUGAGGGUGUAAGUGAACUAUAGAACAAUGUGCAACAUUCAUUAGAAAAUUAGUAUGUAAUAUAUGAUGUAUUUUCAGGCUCAGUGAUGUUUACCGUUUAUACGUAAACUUAAAGUGAGCACAGGUUUCAUGAUCUGAUUUUUAUCAUGUAUGUGUAGUGAUGGUUUGAUUAUUGCUCUCGUAAGUAUUUUCUCUUUAAGGUGUCCUCAUAAAAUAAUUAUUAACAUAUAAUGUAUGAGGGUUCAUAGUCCGGGUUAAUUGUUUUUAUUAUAUAUUCCUGUAAUAGUUUCACCUUGUGGAUGUUCAGUUUGCUUUGAACUAAAUAAAAGAAGACAGAAAGGAAGUGUGUGGAGAUCAGGGUCGUCCUUCAACCAUCAGAUCGGAGGUCAGAUCAUCGGCUCCGCAUGUGUCCACGUGUCCUUAGAGACACUUAAACCUGAACGUCAUCAGGGUGUG